CUUAAUUGAAUUUAUUCGUAAUGAUUUUUAUGUGUUCUCUAUUGUUUAAAUAUUUUAUAAUUUUUCUAAAUUAUUAAUUGUUGUGAACGUGUCUUAAAAUGAAUACUCUUGUUAUUGAUAUUGUGUAUUGAAAGUAUGCACAUGUUGUUGUAGGCUUGGCCCAAAUACAACUCAAUUACUCAAACCCCUUAAAACUCAAUACAAAACAGCCCAAACUACUAACCCUGGCCACCCCGUGAUGUUUGCCACCCCACGCCUCUGCAGCACCAUUCCCAGGCAUCACACACUCCCACCAACUCCUCCAUACCCUGCAAAAUGAAACAAACACUAAGACAGAAGUUGACAACACAAGAGCAGUAGCAAGAGGCUUAAAAUAUCGUUUUGAAAUGGCUAUAAGAGGGGGAUCCGAUUGUAAAAAUGAGGGGGGGUUUAGAGAAGGAUCGAUUGUAUUUUAGGGGGAAAAAUCGAUUGUAAAUAAGUUUUUUUUUUGUUUUCGAAUACAAAAGAAGAGGGAUUGUAUUACACAAAAGGAGAAGAAAAAAGGGAAUAAAAAAAACACAAAAGGUGGAAUUUUUACUCUCUGUUCAUUCAUUUUCUUCGUCUCUUUAUUUUAUGUUUGUUCUCAAAAUCGUUUUUUUAAAAACAAGAAGAAAGGAAGGAGAAUCAAAUAUAAAAAAAAAUAUUUUUUUUUUUUUCAAAAGGUGAUUUUUUUUUCUUUUAUCAAAAAUCUCUGCUGUUAGUCUCUUUUAUUUUCUUUUCAUAAAUACAAACAAAAUACAUUAAAAAAAAUCAAUAGAAAGCACACAAGAGAAUACUGGAAAGGUAAUUAUUCUUGUAAUCUAUUUUUGUUUUUUUUCUCUUCAUUUCUUUCUCCUCUUUUCAGUCGGAUUUAAUACAAAUACGAAGUAUAAGAGAGGAAGGAGGGGUCUUACCGGAGUCAUGCUCGUGCCGUCGGCGACCAUUGCGCCUGGGAUCUUGAUGGAGGCGGCGUCCGACGGAAAUGGGAAGAGAGAUGAGAGAGCAUUUGAAAGUUUUUUUAAGUUUUUUAAAAGAUGCAGAUGUGAAAAUGGUGUUUAAAACAAAAAGUGAUUUUAAUAGCAGAACAAAACAGCACCGUUUGGUGCUGGACCCAUGCCUUUUGGCUUAAAAUGAGGAAUUGGCGCAAUCGGUCCCUCUCCUUCGCUCUUGCAUUCAAUUUGAUCUUUCCCUAUGUUCUUUAUUUUUUUUAUUUUUCCCCUAAAAUUGGCGCAUCUGUUCACUUCAGUCUGGGCUGAAAUGUUUCGUUUUGGGGGUUUGGUAUGUUUGUUUUUUUAAUCCCUGUUGGUUUUCGCGCAUGGCAUUUUAAUCCUCCUUGUGGUUU
rnacentral:lncRNA from 1 species